GUAGUUUGAUGUCAUCAGUAGUAAACAGGAAGUAGUUUGAUGUCAUUAGUAGUAAACAGGAAGUAGUUUGAUGUCAUCAGUAGUAAACAGGUAGUAGUUUGAUGUAAUCAGUAGUAAACAGGUAGUAGUUUGAUGUCAUCAGUAGUAAACAGGAAGUAGUUUUAUGCCAUGUUUUAAACAGGAAGUAGUGUAAUGUCAUCAGUAGUGAACAAGUAGUAGUUUUGUCAUCUGUUGUAAACAGGAAGUAGUUUGAUGUCAUCAGCAGUAAACAGGAAGUAGUUUGAUGUCAUCAGUAGUAAACAGGAAGUAGUUUUGUCAUCAGUAGUAAACAGGAAGUAGUUUUGUCAUCUGUUGUGAACAGGGAGUAGUCUGACAUCAUCAGUAACAAACACGAAGUGCUCUGAUGUCACAGGAAGUCGUUUUUUUGGGAUUUUAUUUACUGUGAUGAUGUGAUUGUGUGUGUCGCAGUUCACGCCCUCUGGUGGUACGAGAGCGCCGACCAGCGAGCUGAAGUCCGACACAAAGCCCACAACGACGCCAGAGUGGUCGCCGCAGUCAGGAACAGUGUCAGCCAUCUUGACACUCAGAGGAAUCAGCUGAUGUUCCCGUGUCCGUUCUCCCCCAUGAGCUGAAAUCUCGUCUCCAUGGCAACAGCUGGUGUUUGUACCUUUUAAGCCCCGCCUCUUUUCCUGGACAAGACGGUCCGGCUGUAAUCCUGAGCUCCUGGCAGUGGGCGGAGCUUAAUAUAGAACUUCCUGAACUGUGACUUUAAGAGUUUCUGCUAUAAAUUAUCUAAGAACAAUAAAGUGAGACUGUUUGAACGUU